GACCUGAAGCAGCAACGCCGCGUGUGCGAUGAAGGUCUUCGGAGUCGUAAAGCACUUUUCUGCGAGAUGAGAAAGGACAGUAUCGUAGGAAUAAGUCUCGGCUAACUACGUGCCAGCAGCCGGCGGUAACACGUAGGAGGCGAGCGUUAUCCGGAUUCACUGGGCGUAAAGCGCGUGCAGGCGGUUUGGUAAGUUGGGCGUGAAAGCUCCCGGCUCAACUGGGAGAGGUCGUUCAAUACUACCGAACUAGAGAGUAGAAGAGGAAGAUGGAAUUCCCGGUGUAGUGGUGAAAUGCGUAGAUAUCGGGAGGAACACCAAUGGCGAAGGCGAUCUUCUGGUCUAUUUCUGACGCUCAGACGCGACAGCUAGGGUAGUAAACGGGAUUAGAGACCCCGGUAAUCCUAGCCGUAAACGAUGUGAACUUGGCGUCGGUGGCUUAAACACCAUCGGUGCCGAAGCAAACGCGAUAAGUUCACCGCCUGGGGACUACGGCCGCAAGGUUA
rnacentral:rRNA from 1 species